GAUGAAGAACGCAGCGAAAUGCGAUAAGUAAUGUGAAUUGCAGAAUUCAGUGAAUCAUCGAAUCUUUGAACGCACAUUGCGCCCGCUAGCAUUCUGGCGGGCAUGCCUGUUCGAGCGUCAUUUCAACCCUCGAGCCCCCCCGGGGGCCUCGGUGUUGGGGGACGGCACACCAGCCGCCCCCGAAAUGCAGUGGCGACCCCGCCGCAGCCUCCCCUGCGUAGUAGCACACACCUCGCACCGGAGCGCGGAGGCGGUCACGCCGUAAAACGCCCAACUUUCUUAGAGUUGACCUCGGAUCAGGUAGGAAUACCCGCUGAACUUAAGCAUAUCAAUAAGCGGAGGA
rnacentral:misc_RNA from 1 species